UACGUAGGGUGCAAGCGUUAAUCGGAAUUACUGGGCGUAAAGCGUGCGCAGGCGGUUAUGUAAGACAGAUGUGAAAUCCCCGGGCUCAACCUGGGAACUGCAUUUGUGACUGCAUAGCUUGAGUGCGGCAGAGGGGGAUGGAAUUCCGCGUGUAGCAGUGAAAUGCGUAGAUAUGCGGAGGAACACCGAUGGCGAAGGCAACCCCCUGGGCCUGUACUGACGCUCAUGCACGAAAGCGUGGGGAGCAAACAGG
rnacentral:rRNA from 1 species